rnacentral:rRNA from 1 species
UACGAAGGGGGCUAGCGUUGCUCGGAAUCACUGGGCGUAAAGCGCACGUAGGCGGCUUCUUAAGUCAGGGGUGAAAUCCUGGAGCUCAACUCCAGAACUGCCUUUGAUACUGAGGAGCUCGAGUCCGGGAGAGGUGAGUGGAACUCCGAGUGUAGAGGUGAAAUUCGUAGAUAUUCGGAAGAACACCAGUGGCGAAGGCGGCUCACUGGCCCGGUACUGACGCUGAGGUGCGAAAGCGUGGGGAGCAAACAGG